rnacentral:misc_RNA from 1 species
GUACUCUCACACUCUCUGAUCCUUUGGAUUUGGGGAGCGGUGGACUUGGGUGCUUGCUGCCUUCCUGGUGGCUCACCUCAAAUGCGUCAGUGCAUCUCUUGAUUGGACAUAGUACGGCGUGAUAAGUGUCUUCGCCGGCGCCUCGUAAGAGGGUGGCCCAUUGGGAGCUCUGUGCUUUCAAACCGUCUUCGGACAAUGUCUGACA